GAUGAAGAACGCAGCGAAAUGCGAUAAGUAAUGUGAAUUGCAGAAUUCAGUGAAUCAUCGAAUCUUUGAACGCACAUUGCGCCCGCCAGUAUUCUGGCGGGCAUGCCUGUUCGAGCGUCACUACAACCCUCAGGCCCCCGGGCCUGGCGUUGGGGAUCGGCGGAAGCCCCCUGCGGGCACAACGCCGUCCCCCAAAUACAGUGGCGGUCCCGCCGCAGCUUCCAUUGCGUAGUAGCUAACACCUCGCAACUGGAGAGCGGCGCGGCCACGCCGUAAAACACCCAACUUCUGAAUGUUGACCUCGAAUCAGGUAGGAAUACCCGCUGAACUUAAGCAUAUCAAUAAGCGGAGGA
rnacentral:misc_RNA from 1 species